GUGGCUGUAGCUCAAAGGUAGAGCACCCCGUUGUGGGCGGGGGGGUUGCGGGUUCGAAUCCCGUCAGUCACC
rnacentral:tRNA from 1 species